AACGCAACUGGCACUCUUUGGCUAUCCAAAGAGUAUACCUGUUUGAGUAUCAUGUAUACCAUCUUUAAACCUCUUUGGUUUGAAGGAGUAUGAGUUUUACCCUAGAGGGUUAACUUGAAAUGCAUGGUCAAACUUGACCGGAAUCUAGCUAAUUGAAAUAAUUUGGCAUAAUUCUAGUCUAAAGGUUUGACCCCAAAACCAAACUGACAAUAUUGAUCUCAAAUCAGGCAGGAUUACCCGCUGAAUUUAA
rnacentral:misc_RNA from 1 species